rnacentral:rRNA from 1 species
GACGAACGCUGGCGGCGUGCUUAACACAUGCAAGUCGAACGGUGAAGCGCCUUCCUUUUUGGUGGGUGUGGAUGAGUGGCGAACGGGUGAGUAACACGUGAGUAACCUGCCCCCUUCUUCUGGAUAACCGCAUGAAAGUGUGGCUAAUACGGGAUAUUCUGGGUCUGUCGCUUGAUGGGUCUGGGAAAGAUAUUGUUUCGGUGGGGGAUGGGCUCGCGGCCUAUCAGCUUGUUGGUGGGGUGAUGGCCUACCAAGGCGGUGACGGGUAGCCGGCCUGAGAGGGUGGAAGGACACACUGGGACUGAGACACGGGCCAGACGCCUACGGGAGGAAGCAGUGGGGAAUAUUGCACAAUGAGCGCAAGACUGAAGCAGCGAAGCCGCGUGAGGGAAGGAGGCCUUCGGGUUGUGAACCUCUUUCGCCAGAGAAGCAGGCCUGCCUCGUUUGUGGGUGGGUUGACGGUAGCUGGAUAAGAAGCGCCGGCUAACUACGUG